rnacentral:rRNA from 1 species
UACGAAGGGGGCUAGCGUUGUUCGGAAUCACUGGGCGUAAAGCGCGUGUAGGCGGUCCGGUAAGUCCGCUGUGAAAGUCGGGGGCUCAACCCUCGGAUGCCGGUGGAUACUGUCGGGCUUGAGUACGGAAGAGGCGAGUGGAAUUCCUGGUGUAGCGGUGAAAUGCGCAGAUAUCAGGAGGAACACCAAUUGCGAAGGCAGCUCGCUGGGACGUUACUGACGCUGAGACGCGAAAGCGUGGGGAGCAAACAGG